rnacentral:rRNA from 1 species
GACGAACGCUGGCGGCGUGCUUAACACAUGCCAGUCGAACGGAAAGGCCCCCUUGUGGGGUACUCGAGUGGCGAACGGGUGAGUAACACGUGAGUAACCUACCCUUGACUUUGGGAUAACUUCAGGAAACUGGGGCUAAUACCGGAUAGGAGCUCCUGCUGCAUGGUGGGGGUUGGAAAGUUUCGGCGGUUGGGGAUGGGCUCGCGGCUUAUCAGCUUGUUGGUGGGGUAGUGGCUCACCAAGGCUUUGACGGGUAGCCGGCCUGAGAGGGUGACCGGCCACAUUGGGACUGAGAUACGGCCCAGACUCCUACGGGAGGCAGCAGUGGGGAAUAUUGCACAAUGGGCGGAAGCCUGAUGCAGCAACGCCGCGUGCGGGAUGACGGCCUUCGGGUUGUAAACCGCUUUCGCCUGUGACGAAGCGUGAGUGACGGUAAUGGGUAAAGAAGCACCGGCUAACUACGUG